ACUCCUACGGGAGGCAGCAGUGGGGAAUAUUGCACAAUGGGCGCAAGCCUGAUGCAGCCAUGCCGCGUGUAUGAAGAAGGCCUUCGGGUUGUAAAGUACUUUCAGCAGUGAGGAAGGUGGAUAUGUUAAUAGCAUAUUCAUUUGACGUUAGCUGCAGAAGAAGCACCGGCUAACUCCGUGCCAGCAGCCGCGGUAAUACGGAGGGUGCGAGCGUUAAUCGGAAUUACUGGGCGUAAAGCGCAUGCAGGUGGUUUGUUAAGUCAGAUGUGAAAGCCCGGGGCUCAACCUCGGAAUUGCAUUUGAAACUGGCAAACUAGAGUACUGUAGAGGGGGGUAGAAUUUCAGGUGUAGCGGUGAAAUGCGUAGAGAUCUGAAAGGAAUACCGGUGGCGAAGGCGGCCCCCUGGACAGAUACUGACACUCAGAUGCGAAAGCGUGGGGAGCAAACAGGAUUAGAUACCCCGGUAGGCUCUGC
rnacentral:rRNA from 1 species